rnacentral:ribozyme from 1 species
AAGAAGAGCAAGAACAAGAAGACAGCCCCAAAAAUCAAGAUGAAACAAAUAUAUAUUAUUGUUUUGUUUUUGUUUUUGUUUUUGUUUUUGUUUUUGUUUUUGU